GGUGUAGCCAAGCGGUAAGGCACCGGUUUUUGAUACCGGCAUGCGCAGGUUCGAAUCCUGCCACC
rnacentral:tRNA from 1 species